rnacentral:rRNA from 1 species
UUGAACGCUGGCGGCAUGCUUUACACAUGCAAGUCGAACGGCAGCGGGGGCUUCGGCCUGCCGGCGAGUGGCGAACGGGUGAGUAAUGCAUCGGAACGUACCCAGUCGUGGGGGAUAACUACGCGAAAGCGUAGCUAAUACCGCAUACGCCCUGAGGGGGAAAGCGGGGGACCUUCGGGCCUCGCGCGAUUGGAGCGGCUGAUGUCGGAUUAGCUGGUUGGUGGGGUAAAGGCCUACCAAGGCGACGAUCCGUAGCUGUUCUGAGAGGAUGAUCAGCCACACUGGGACUGAGACACGGCCCAGACUCCUACGGAAGGCAGCAGUGGGGAAUUUUGGACAAUGGGCGAAAGCCUGAUCCAGCAAUGCCGCGUGCAGGAUGAAGGCCUUCGGGUUGUAAACUGCUUUUGUACGGAACGAAAAGUCUCGGGAUAAUACCCUGGGACCAUGACGGUACCGUAAGAAUAAGCACCGGCUAACUACGU